rnacentral:rRNA from 1 species
GACGAACGCUGGCGGCGUGCUUAAUACAUGCAAGUCAACUGAACUUGAAGUAGCAAUAUUUCAAGGGAGGUGGCGCACGGGUGAGUAACACGUAGGUAAUCUGCCUUUAGGUCUGACAUAAUUCCGCGAAAGCGGGACUAACUUCAGAUGAUGCAGCGGCUCGACAUCGAGACAGUUGUUAAAUCUUCGGAGCCUAAAGAUGAGCCUGCGUCUGAUUAGGUAGUUGGCGGAGUAAAAGCCCACCAAGCCUGCGAUCAGUAGCUGGUCUGAGAGGAUGAUCAGCCACACUGGAACUGAGACACGGUCCAGACUCCUACGGGAGGCAGCAGUAAGGAAUAUUGCUCAAUGGCCGAAAGGCUGAAGCAGCAACGCCGCGUGGAGGAUGAAAUACUUUUGUAUGUAAACUCCUGUAAGAAGGGAAAAAUAUUUCGAUUUAUCGGAAUUGAUUGUACCUUCAGAGUAAGCACCGGCUAACUA